rnacentral:rRNA from 1 species
CCGGGCUUGAAUUGCGCUUGAAUGAGGAUGAAAGUUCUCAGUCGUAAGACAAGCGUGAAGGUGCUGCAUGGUUGUCGUCAGCUCGUGCCGUGAGGUGUCGGCUUAAGUGCCAUAACGAGCGCAACCCCGAUCGUCGGUUGCCAGCGGGUAAUGCCGGGGACUCCGACGAGACUGCCGUCGUAAGAUGCGAGGAAGGUCGGGAUGACGUCAAAUCAGCACGGCCCUUACGUCCGGGGCCACACACGUGUUACAAUGGGGGGUACAGCAGGUCGCUUGACGGUGACGUUAAGCUAAUCUUAAAAACCCCUCCCAGUUCGGAUCGGAGUCUGCAACCCGACUCCGUGAAGCCGGAUUCGCUAGUAAUCGCACAUCAGCCACGGCGCGGUGAAUACGUUCCC